AAUAAGUGUAGUUUUGUAUUAUUCAUAUCCAACGUUUGACAGUUCGUUUUAUUUAAAAUUUUUUAAUGAUUAAUAUUUUAUUGUUAUUAGAUGAUAAAACAUCAAUAGUACUUUAUAUGUGACUAUUUUUUUAUUUUUUGAAAAAACUUUUAAACUUUUUUAAAUGUUGGAUACGGAUUCCUACUGCUGC
rnacentral:pre_miRNA from 1 species